AGCGAACGCUGGCGGCAGGCCUAAAACAUGCAAGUCGAACGAACCCUUCGGGGUUAGUGGCGGACGGGUGAGUAACACGUGGGAACGUGCCCUUUGGUUCGGAACAACUCAGGGAAACUUGAGCUAAUACCGGAUGUGCCCUUCGGGGGAAAGAUUUAUCGCCAUUGGAGCGGCCCGCGUCUGAUUAGCUAGUUGGUGGGGUAAAGGCCCACCAAGGCUACGAUCAGUAGCUGGUCUGAGAGGAUGAUCAGCCACACUGGGACUGAGACACGGCCCAGACUCCUACGAGAGGCAGCAGUUAGGAAUCUUGGGCAAUGGGCGGAAGCCUGACCCAGCCAUGCCGCGUGAAUGAUGAAGGUCUUAGGAUUGUAAAAUUCUUUCAGCGGGGACGAUAAUGACGGUACCCGCAGAAGAAGCCCCGGCUAACUUCGUGCCAGCCGCCGCCGUAAGAC
rnacentral:rRNA from 1 species